ACUGCUCAGUAACACGUAGCUAACCUACCCUUUGGACGGGUACAACCCCGGGAAACUGAGGUUAAUACCCGAUAGGUGUGGAUUCCUGGAAUGGUACCACGCCCAAAAGUAAUGCACCCAUGUGUGCGUUUACGCCGAAGGAUGGGGCUGCGGCCGAUCAGGCAGUUGGUGAGGUAACGGCUCACCAAACCUUUGACCGGUACGGGCCAUGAGAGUGGUAGCCCGGAGAUGGGCACUGAGACAAGGGCCCAGGCCCUACGGGGCGCAGCAGGCGCGAAACCUCCACAAUUCACGAAAGUGAGAUGGGGUUAUCUCGAGUGCCGCCUGAUGAAGGCGGCUUUUCCAUUGUGUAAUGAGCCGUGGGAAUAAGAGGGGGGCAAGACUGGUGUCAGCCGCCGCGGUAACACCAGCCCCUCGAGUGGUGGGGAUGAUUAUUUGGCCUAAAGCGUCCGUAGCUGGCCCUGUAAAUCUCUCGUUAAAUCCAACGUCCUAAGCGUUGGGCUGCGAGAGAGACUGCAGAGCUAGAGGGUGGGAGAGGUUAGCGGUAUUCCUGGGGUAGGGGCGAAAUCCAUUGAUCCCAGGAGGACCACCAGUGGCGAAGGCUGCUGACUAGAACACGCCUGACAGUGAGGGACGAAAGCUGGGGUAGCGAAUCGGAUUAGAUACCCGAGUAGUCCCAGCCGUAAACGAUGCAGGUUAGGUGUUGGGUCGGCCAUGUGCUGGCUCAGUGCCGAAGGGAAGCCGUUAAGCCCGCCAUCUGGGGAGUACGGUCGCAAGGCUGAAACUUAAAGGAAUUGGCGGGGGAGCACCAC
rnacentral:rRNA from 1 species